AGAAUCGUGGAGGUAGAGCACUGAUUGGGUGCGGGGCCCGCAAGGGUUACCAAGCUCAGUCAAACUCCGAAUGCCAUAGAUUUAGUUCCGGGAGUCAGACAGUGAGUGCUAAGAUCCAUUGUCGAAAGGGAAACAGCCCAGACCAUCAGCUAAGGUCCCCAAGUGUGUGUUAAGUGGGAAAGGAUGUGGAGUUGCACAGACAACCAGGAUGUUGGCUUAGAAGCAGCCACCAUUGAAAGAGUGCGUAAUAGCUCACUGGUCGAGUGACUCUGCGCCGAAAAUGUAACGGGGCUAAACACACCACCGAAGCUAUGGCUUGAUGCUUGCAUCAGGGGUAGGGGAGCGUUGAAUGCGGGUUGAAGGUGUACCGUAAGGAGCGCUGGACUGCAUUCAAGUGAGAAUGCCGGUAUGAGUAACGAAAAGAUCUGUGAGAAUCAGAUCCGCCGAAAGCCUAAGGGUUCCUGAGGAAGGUUCGUCCGCUCAGGGUAAGUCGGGACCUAAGGCGAGGCCGAUAGGCGUAGUCGAAGGACAACAGGUCGAAAUUCCUGUACCACCGUAAUCCGUUAUGAGCGAUGGGGUGACGCAGUAGGGUAGUGACGCGGACUGAUGGAUGUCCGUCUAAGCAGUGAGGCUG
rnacentral:rRNA from 1 species